rnacentral:pre_miRNA from 1 species
UUCAUACUCCCUCCGUUCGGAAUUACUUGUCGUAGAAAUGGAUGUAUCUAGGCGUAUUUUAGUUCUAGAUACAUCCAUUUCCGAGACAAGUAAUUCCGAGCGGAGGGAGUACAUU